rnacentral:piRNA from 1 species
UGACUUUUCGUUUAGCUGCCUGAUAAGCCCC